rnacentral:tRNA from 1 species
CGCCGUCGAGCGACAGGAAGGCGGCGCCGGUGAUCUUGCGGGUCAUCGGCUCAGUCCCCCCGCCGCGCGGCUUCGAUCGCCGCGAUGUCGA